AUGCUCAGACUUGGGCCUGUGCAGGGCCUAGGUGGGGCUAAGGGGUCCGAUGCCGCCAUCUCUCGCAUGGCGGGUUGCCUUGGGAUUACACCGGCCAUCCAAGACCGUGCCAAGGAGGUGUUCAGGAAGAUGGAGAAGGAUAGGGCAUGGCCACCGGUUCUUGGCAAGACCAACCACCGAAAUAAUGAUCUGCUAUAUGCAGCGUGCCUCGCCAUUGCAUGCUGUAGCGAGGGCUCACCGCGGUCUAUCAAUGAGCUAGCUUCGGCAACGGCUGAAGGCUCGGCGGCAAGAAGGGAAAUCGCAAAGCUAACCGCGCGCAUCAGGAAGCACCUCGGGGAGGAGGGUGUCGGGCUGACGGGCGUUGGUGUGGUGCGUGCAUCAAGCUAUUUGUGCCACUUUGGUAAGCAACUUGAUAUGAGUGGUCGGGAAGUCACAUCGGCUAAGGAGGCAGCGAGACGGCUGUAG
rnacentral:rRNA from 1 species